rnacentral:rRNA from 1 species
CUACGGGCGGCAGCAGGCGCGAAACCUUAGCAAUACACGAAAGUGUGACUGGGCAACUUCGAGUGCAAGCUUUGCUUGCUUUUGCCAAGCCCAUAAAAAGCUUGGCGAAUAAGUGCUGGGUAAGAUACGUGCCAGCCGCCGCGGUAAUACGUACAGCACAAGUGGUAUCCACUAAUAUUGGGCCUAAAACGUUUGUAGCAGGCCUUAAAAGUCUCUGGUGAAAUCUGCAGGCCUAACUUGCAGAAGUGCUGGAGAUACUAUGAGGCUCGAGACCGGGAGACGCCAAGGGAAUUCUUGGGGUAGCAGUGAAAUGCUAUGAUCCUAAGAGGACCACCUGUAGCGAAGGCGCUUGGCGAGAACGGCUCUGACUGUGAGAAACGAAAGCUGGGGGAGCGACCCGGAUUAGAUACCCCCGUAGUC